rnacentral:rRNA from 1 species
CAGCCGCCACGGGAAUACGUAGGGUGCAAGCGUUAAUCGGAAUUACUGGGCGUAAAGCGUGCGCAGGCGGUUUGUUAAGACAGAUGUGAAAUCCCCGGGCUCAACCUGGGAACUGCAUUUGUGACUGGCAAGCUAGAGUGUGGCAGAGGGGGGUGGAAUUCCCGGUGUAGCGGUGAAAUGCGUAGAGAUCGGGAGGAACAUCAGUGGCGAAGGCAGCCAUCUGGGACAACACUGACGCUGAGGCACGAAAGCGUGGGGAGCAAACAGGAUUAGAUACCCGUGUAGUCCCUGUCUCUUAUAC